rnacentral:misc_RNA from 1 species
GGAAGUAAGUCGUAACAAGGUUUCCGUAGGUGAACCUGCGGAAGGAUCAUUAUUGUAUAACCGAGGUGCGAGGGCUGUCGCUGACCCGAAAGGUCGUGCACGCCCGAGUGCCCUCACACACAUCCAUCUCACCCCUAUGUGCACCACCGCGUGAGUCCCCCUUUGGCUUGUUCGGAGGGGGGCUUACGUUUUCACACAAACUUUGUAUGCAGUGUAGAAUGUAUUUUUUGUUCUUGCGAUCACGCAAUCAAUACAACUUUCAACAACGGAUCUCUUGGCUCUC